rnacentral:lncRNA from 1 species
CUAUGCCUAGUCGCUGUGCUUUGUUAUAACAGUCUGUAAUUAUAUCCUUGUUUGUUUCUGCAAGGCUUUUUCUGCACUGAGGGAUCCUCCACUGCAGCUCCUGUCUCUGCUCUAUUUGGCGACGUGUGUCCUCCUGGGCACUACUGUGAAACUGGCAGCGCUGUGCCCACCUCUUGCCCAGUGGGCACACACCGGUCUGAGAGUGGUGGAAAGAGCGUGGAGGACUGCAUGCCUUGCCCUGAAGGGCUGUUCCAGGAUCAGUCAGGCCAAAGGGAUUGUAAAGCCUGUCUCCCUGGAUUCCACUGCCUGUCCUCUGCUCAGCAGACUAACAGGGGCGGUGCUCCACUCAUCUGUCCGAAGGGUUAUUACUGUCCUAAUGAAACACUAGGCAGACCCGUCCCCUGCCCCAAAGGCACCUACAGUGAUAAUCAGGGCCUUACAUCAGCAGAUGAGUGCCUAGUCUGUCCCCUGGGUUAUUUCUGUGGUUCUGACGGACUGGUCCAGCCCUCUGGACCCUGUGCUUCUGGAUUCCUGUGCUUUAUUCGUGCAACAGUCCCAAACCCCACCGACAACCAAACAGGAUCUCUGUGUCCAGCAGGGGCUUUCUGUCAGCUGGGAAUCAGAAAUGGAGACUGUUCUCCAGGAUAUUUCUGUGACUGGGGGUCCAGCAGUCCAGAGCAGAGACUCUGUCCCUCAGGGUUCUUCUGCCCGGCAGGAAUAGAUAAACCCGUAGCCUGUGGGCCGGGAACGUUCAGCUCAGUGAUGGGAAACAGUGAAAGAGAACACUGUGAUCCAUGCCCUUCAGGCUACUACUGUCAGGGUGGGUCAAUUAUAUAUUUAUAUAUAUUUAUUAAGGGUGUCACGAUUCUCUAAAUCCUCGAUUCGAUUUUAUUUCCGAUUUUAGGGUCAAGAUUCGAUUCUCGAUUUCCUUUUUUCUUUUUUUUUUUUACAGCAGAGAGGCCUAUGCCAGUUUUAGAUUAGUUUACAAUUUCUUUACAAUAUCUUACUUUAAAAGGUGGGCUUGAUAUAAGUGAUGCAAAGUGAAACAAGUGAUCUGUAAU